AACGUGCCCUGGAGUGGGGGAUAACGCAGCGAAAGUUGCGCUAAUACCGCAUACGAUCUAAGGAUGAAAGCGGGGGAUUCGCAAGAACCUCGUGCUCCUGGAGCGGCCGAUAUCUGAUUAGCUAGUUGGUGGGGUAAAGGCCUACCAAGGCAUCGAUCAGUAGCUGGUCUGAGAGGACGACCAGCCACACUGGAACUGAGACACGGUCCAGACUCCUACGGGAGGCAGCAGUGGGGAAUUUUGGACAAUGGGCGCAAGCCUGAUCCAGCAAUGCCGCGUGAGUGAAGAAGGCCUUCGGGUUGUAAGCUCUUUGUCAGGGAAGAAACGGUGCGGGCUAAUAUCCCGCACUAAAUGAGGUACCUGAAGAAUAAGCACGGCUAACUACGUGCCAGCAGCCGCGGUAAUACGUAGGGUGCAAGCGUUAAUCGGAAUUACUGGGCGUAAAGCGUGCGCAGGCGGUUUUGUAAGUCUGUCGUGAAAUCCCCGGGCUCAACCUGGGAAUUGCGAUGGAGACUGCAAGGCUAGAAUCUGGCAGAGGGGGGUAGAAUUCCACGUGUAGCAGUGAAAUGCGUAGAGAUGUGGAGGAACACCGAUGGCGAAGGCAGCCCCCUGGGUCAAGAUUGACGCUCAUGCACGAAAGCGUGGGGAGCAAACAGGAUUAGAUACCCUGGUAGUCCACGCCCUAAACGAUGUCUACUAGUUGUCGGGUUUUAAUUAACUUGGUAACGCAGCUAACGCGUGAAGUAGACCGCCUGGGGAGUACGGUCGCAAGAUUAAAACUCAAAGGAAUUGACGGGGACCCGCACAAGCGGUGGAUGAUGUGGAUUAAUUCGAUGCAACGCGAAAAACCUUACCUACCCUUGACAUGUACGGAAGCCACGAGAGAUCGAGGCGUGCUCGAAAGAGAGCCGUAACACAGGUGCUGCAUGGCUGUCGUCAGCUCGUGUCGUGAGAUGUUGGGUUAAGUCCCGCAACGAGCGCAACCCUUGUCAUUAGUUGCUACGAAAGAGCACUCUAAUGAGACUGCCGGUGACAAACCGGAGGAAGGUGGGGAUGACGUCAAGUCCUCAUGGCCCUUAUGGGUAGGGCUUCACACGUCAUACAAUGGUACAUACAGAGGGCCGCCAACCCGCGAGGGGGAGCUAAUCCCAGAAAGUGUAUCGUAGUCCGGAUUGUAGUCUGCAACUCGACUACAUGAAGUUGGAAUCGCUAGUAAUCGCGGAUCAGCAUGUCGCGGUGAAUACGUUCCCGGGUCUUGUACACACCGCCCGUCACACCAUGGGAGCGGGUUUUACCAGAAGUAGGUAGCUUAACCGCAAGGAGGGCGCUUACCACGGUAGGAUUCGUGACUGGG
rnacentral:rRNA from 1 species